GGGUGACAUCGAAAGUUUAAGGAGAGACAAGGUCCAUGAGGCCAGAAUCUGGGAUGGUGGUGGCAGAGCAGCUGUUUCCUGCAUUUGGGCACUGCAAGCAGGUUGAUUCAGAAGACGGAUGAAAAAUUUGUCACUGGGCAGCCUGGAUGAGGACCAAGACCGUGGGAUCCUUUGCUUAAAGGAAAGGAGCUCUUCAGCGAUAUGCGACUCAUUUGAACAAGAGAAGCCAGGCUGCUGAGUCAUAUGGAACAUGCCUCGAAUAUUCAAGAUUGUUCCAGGAUGACCCGAUCAGAAGUGCAGAUCUAGGAAAACAAAGACUGGCCUUCAGAGACGUUGCAGUUGAACUCUGAGUGAAACCAAGGGUAGUAGCAGUUCACAUCACUCAGCAUUACUAACUUUACUUGGUUGUGGAAUCCAGAGAUUGUAUGGUAUCCCGAAGAGCCAAUGCAGUAUCCCGGAGGAAACUGGAGUAUUCACAGUUUUGCUCGUAUACGAUCAUGUGUGAAAGUCAGAGAUUGAUUUUGAUCUAUCAGAGAUUCCUUUUUUUACAAGUCUCAAAAAACCCUUCGCAAAGUAUACUGACACUUUCCUUGAUUUCAGAAGUCCGAUGGUAACAGUGUUGAUGUUGGGAACUGUGUUAUGAAAGUGCAAAACGGCUCCUCAACCAUCAGGGCUCUCUUGUUAUUCACAAAAGAAAGGUAUAACUCAUAUUAUUAGGAUUUAGAGUCCAGAAAAUUCAUACUCUUAUAUUAACUAAUUUAAAAAGGAAAGGUCAACAGAUUUCCCCAGACAUUGUCUGAGGAAAGGAGACAAUUAAAAGAGACAUUUAAUGCUAUUCCGAAUGUAUUUCCUGAUUCUUACAAGACCUGCUGGGUGCCCCUCCCCUGGAUUCUUAGUGCCCCGUGCACAUUCUUUUAUCAUGAUUCACGGCACAUUGCACUGUAAGUAUGUGUUUGCAAGUCUUUGUCUAGCACUAGGCUGGAGAGCAGAAACCAUGUCAGACUUAUAUUUGCAUCCCCAGCACCUAGCGAAGAAAUUAACACAUAGUGGAUAUACAAAAAACCUUGAUUUUUUAAUAAUUGCUUUAAAUAACUGAUCAUAAAAUGAAAAGGAGCUUAAGUAUCCAAUCAAGAAUUAUAUCGUUAGAGAUGACACAUACUCAGUGAGCUAUGAUAUUUAGGCUGAAACAAAAAUAUAAAAUGAAACAUCGUGGAAACUAGACAUUUCCUAUGAAUAAGGCACUUAAACUCAUUCAGUCUUUGGAGAGAAUCAACUCCUUACUAUACCUGCUUGGGAUGGCUUAACAAAAUCUGGUUUCACUCAAACUGAUCAAUAUAUUUUAAUGACUCCACUGCAGAUGCUGAAACAGUCAUACUCAUCAAAGUUCAUUUUGAGUUAAUCCGAUCAGUGCGGAAUGUCUUUCAACGUGGUAAUGGCCAAAGCUUCAUGGAUACACUUUCUGGAAUAAUGUGAUCAUGAGCUCAAACAAGGAUGACCUAAUGCAAAGAUUUUAAGAAGUCCUAGGAAAUUCUGGCUCAUUAUCCGGGUGACAAUCACAGCAUACACAAAAAAUGAAAGUGGAUCACUACCACCACUGUCACCUUCUUAGAAUGCCUCACCAGUGACAGCCCUUUUCAAAGAGGCCAUUCAGUUGUCAACUCCAAAAUGUAAGAACUCUGAGCCUUCCGGAGUCUGUUAGACUUUCAACGUGUUUUUCUUACACGAAGGGAUCCAUUUCUGAGCCAUUGUGUCACAUUCGUUGUAAAGAAAAAGAGCGGUAUAUAGACAGUUGGACUCCUGAACAGGAAAGUGCCUUUUGUAAUAUCAAGCAGUUACUGAUUUCCCUGUGUGUGUUCAAAACAGUGUGAACCACCUGGCUGGGUUCAGUUGUGCCUGAACCAUAAAACGCCAGAUGGCCCCCAGACACCAGCCUUGCUCACUCAUCAAAAGCAGCGUUGUCUCUAUACCAGCAUAGUGCACACAUUGAUGAAGUUAUGCUGUUAUCGGAGGACGUUUUAUAACCACUCUAGCUUCUACGCCGUUACCAUUCGUAAUGUUUACAGACCACUUUGGGUUUUUUUUCUCCAAGGAUAAAUCAAUCCAUUUAAUCUUGUUAUCAGCUAUACAUCACUGAGGUAUUUUGCUCUGUGGUUUUAUCGGUUUACAAGAUGAAUGAAACGCUUCCUUUUGGAUCUCCAGCCAGCAUAUGACGCAAGAACCGCUUGGCAACCUCAGGCUCCUGGGAGCCCUGUCACACACCUGGCUCUCUGACCUCUAGGCCAUCAACGUUGUUUUUUUUAAUUAAUAGGGAUUUGGAACUAUGUUGCUGUUCAAAAACCAGAUUUUAGAGAAAAAUUUUCCUGAAAUUAGCCCUGGGCAAGGAGGCAGAGUUGACUAACCCGCCUCGCGUUUCUUCAGAGGUCUUUUCUUUGCCUUUCUGCUUGAAGAAGAGGAGUGAUAUCCACUGCUCUCCACCAUCCUCCAUGAAGAAAAUCUUGCAAAUAAUUCACUUUACAAUUUACCAAUAGCAGUACUUUAUUUUAUACGACAUGAAUAAAGGUGAUUAUAUUUCUGUUUUUCAAAAUAAAUUUCAUCUGAAUAAUA